AUGAAAGCACUAACAGUACUGUCUGUACACACUGAAACAGUACUGUCUGUACACACUGAAAUAGUACUGUCUAUACACACUGAAACAGUACUGUCUGUACACACUGAGACAGUACUGUCUGUACACACUGAAACAGUACUGUCUGUACACACUGAAACAGUACUGUCUGUACACACUGAAAUAGUACUGUCUAUACACACUGAAACAGUACUGUCUGUACACACUGAAACAGUACUGUCUGUACACACUGAAAUAGUACUGUCUGUACACACUGAAAUAGUACUGUCUAUACACACUGAGACAGUACUGUCUGUACACACUGAAACAGUACUGUCUGUACACACUGAAACAGUACUGUCUAGACACACUGAAAUAGUACUGUCUAUACACACUGAAACAGUACUGUCUGUACACACUGAAACAGUACUGUCUAGACACACUGAAAUAGUACUGUCUGUACACACUGAAAUAGUACUGUCUGUACACACUGAAAUAGUACUGUCUAUACACACUGAAACAGUACUGUCUGUACACACUGAAAUAGUACUGUCUAUACACACUGAAACAGUACUGUCUGUACACACUGAAACAGUACUGUCUAGACACACUGAAACAGUACUGUCUAGACACACUGAAACAGUACUGUCUGUACACACUGAAAUAGUACUGUCUAGACACACUGAAACAGUACUGUCUAGACACACUGAAAUAGUACUGUCUGUACACACUGAAAUAGUACUGUCUGUACACACUGAAAUAGUACUGUCUAGACACACUGAAACAGUACUGUCUAGACACACUGAAAUAGUACUGUCUAUACACACUGAAAUAGUACUGUCUAUACACAUUGAAACAGUACUGUCUGUACACACUGAAACAGUACUGUCUGUACACACUGAAACAGUACUGUCUAUACACACUGAAACAGUACUGUCUAUACACACUGAAAUAGUACUGUCUGUACACACUGAAACAGUACUGUCUAUACACACUGAAACAGUACUGUCUGUACACACUGAAAUAGUACUGUCUAUACACACUGAAACAGUACUGUCUGUACACACUGAAACAGUACUGUCUAGACACACUGAAACAGUACUGUCUAGACACACUGAAACAGUACUGUCUGUACACACUGAAAUAGUACUGUCUAGACACACUGAAACAGUACUGUCUGUACACACUGAAAUAGUACUGUCUGUACACACUGAAAUAGUACUGUCUGUACACACUGAAAUAGUACUGUCUAUACACACUGAAACAGUACUGUCUGUACACACUGAAACAGUACUGUCUAGACACACUGAAACAGUACUGUCUAGACACACUGAAACAGUACUGUCUGUACACACUGAAACAGUACUCUCUGUACACACUGAAACAGUACUGUCUGUACACACUGAAACAGUACUGUCUGUACACACUGAAACAGUACUGUCUGUACACACUGAAAUAGUACUGUCUAUACACACUGAAACAGUACUGUCUGUACACACUGAAACAGUAAUGUCUAUACACACUGAAACAGUACUGUCUAUACACACUGAAACAGUACUGUCUGUACACACUGAAACAGUACUGUCUGUACACACUGAAACAGUACUGUCUGUACACACUGAAACAGUACUGUCUGUACACACUGAAACAGUACUGUCUGUACACACUGAAACAGUACUGUCUGUACACACUGAAACAGUACUGUCUGUACACACUGAAACAGUACUGUCUGUACACACUGAAACAGUACUGUCUAUACACACUGAAACAGUACUGUCUGUACACACUGAAACAGUACUGUCUGUACACACUGAAACAGUACUGUCUAUACACACUGAAACAGUACUGUCUAGACACACUGAAACAGUACUGUCUGUACACACUGAAACAGUACUGUCUGUACACACUGAAACAGUACUGUCUAUACACACUGAAACAGUACUGUCUAGACACACUGAAACAGUACUGUCUGUACACACUGAAACAGUACUGUCUGUACACACUGAAACAGUACUGUCUGUACACACUGAAACAGUACUGUCUAGACACACUGAAACAGUACUGUCUGUACACACUGAAACAGUACUGUCUGUACACACUGAAACAGUACUGUCUGUACACACUGAAACAGUACUGGCUAGACACACUGAAACAGUACUGUCUGUACACACUGAAACAGUACUGUCUAGACACACUGAAACAGUACUGUCUAUACACACUUUGAAAGGUACAGAUUGCAAGUGUCAUGUUUGGUUUCUGAGCAGUAAAAUGUGA
ensembl:lncRNA